rnacentral:rRNA from 1 species
GAUGAACGCUGGCGGCGUGCCUAAUACAUGCAAGUCGAGCGAACGGGCGAGAAGCUUGCUUCUCUGAUGUUAGCGGCGGACGGGUGAGUAACACGUGGAUAACCUACCUAUAAGACUGGGAUAACUUCGGGAAACCGGAGCUAAUACCGGAUAAUAUUUUGAACCGCAUGGUUCAAAAGUGAAAGACGGUCUUGCUGUCACUUAUAGAUGGAUCCGCGCUGCAUUAGCUAGUUGGUAAGGUAACGGCUUACCAAGGCAAUGAUGCAUAGCCGAGUUGAGAGACUGAUCGGCCACAUUGGGACUGAGACACGGCCCAA